UGACAUUUUGAUGCUAUUAAGGUCCAUUGU
rnacentral:piRNA from 1 species